rnacentral:tRNA from 1 species
AUUUAUGUAGUUUAAAAAAAACAAUACAUUUUCACUGUAUAAAUAAUAUAUUUGUAUUCUUAAAUA